rnacentral:rRNA from 1 species
UACGGAGGGUGCGAGCGUUGUCCGGAAUCACUGGGCGUAAAGGGCGCGUAGGCGGCCCUGGCAGUCGGUGGUGAAAGCCCGUGGCUCAACUGCGGGUCGGCCACCGACACUCCAGGGCUCGAGUUUGGUAGAGGCAGAUGGAAUUCCGGGUGUAGCGGUGGAAUGCGUAGAGAUCCGGAAGAACACCGGUGGCGAAGGCGGUCUGCUGGGCCAAGACUGACGCUGAGGCGCGACAGCGUGGGGAGCAAACAGG